AGCACUCGCGCCCUUGGGGGCUAGCGUUUGGCCGGAGCUACACACUCUUUACUCACGCACGCACACCGCCGUACACAGCACAAUCGUUCACCGUCCCGCCAAAGGCUCGUCUCUCGGGUUCUGCCUAGUGGAAGGAGUCGGACAACGCCGCACGUCACGGGCGUUUCGGAUUUCUUGCUUCCCAAAGGUUUGACGGCGGCCACCGGCGCCCCGGCCCAGCUCUGCUUUCCUUUGCUGACUCCUUCCUUUAGGUGUGAAUUUUAAAAUGCUGAUACCGCCCCAAGAGAGCUGAGUCAAGUGAGGCAAACGUUCGCCUGUUGUUCUCCUGACAGACUCCCUGCAGUGGGCAGGGGAAAUGUGGCCUUGGCCGACAUUAAUGAAGUGCCAGGAUGGAGGGAGGGGGCCUGCUGAUUUGUUCUGUUUUACUUUUUAAGGGUAACUAGAGCGUUACUGGAGUCGUCUGUGGGUUUGGGGAGUAUGUGGCGCGUGUGUGUGUCACACAUUUCACUGGCAACUCCCGCCAACCCCUUCCCAAGAAAUGAAGGCUCUAAUGUGGGCAGUUCUGCAACAAAGGUGAAACUUCCCCAAAUCACGAUUCCCCGCAAGAUGAGAGAGCAGGUGCAGCAUCCAUUUUCCCACUAUCACGCUUGAGAUGGUGGCUUUGGGCACUGCCGGGUGCCCCGACAUCCUUCCCAGAGCCCAGCCUUCCCACCCAGGCCCGGCCCUGCGCGGCCGCCUGCCUUUGCAUCAGAGACCGCGGCUGUGCCAUUGCCAAGGUGGGCAGCGCCGCCUCGCUUCCCCAUUCCUCCGUCUCCCACGCCUCUUGCGUGUUUGAGUCGCGAAGUGAUGGACUUUAAAUCUCAGAGGAGGAAUGAGAAACUUGGUUAGUGGCUCUCUUGGCAUGUUCGUAGCCCUGUGGUUGAAGUGGCUGAAACCUGCGUUGAGCCUCAGUCCAAGCAGCUGGGGCCACACCAGUUUGCAAAAGCGGAUGUGGCAGUUUCCACCGCAGCAGCAGCCUGCUGGCGCCUCAUCAGAUUCUCCUUUGGAGGAAGUAUCUUCUUCCCUUCAUUCUCGGUGAAUGGCAUCCAGAGAUAACCAAAAUCAGGUGUAUCUAGUUUCAAGUUCUGUCUUGCAACCGUGAUAAUUGGAGGAUGCAAACUUUACACUUUCUUCUCUAGCUGUCUACCACCACUGCUGCGCUUGUGGAUGACUGCAGGAACACCGGGUACUUGCCACAAGUAUCUCUCCAGAUUCAUCAGCCUUUCACCUGUGACAAGCUCAGUCAAGAAGUGGCUCCUAAGUAAAAGCUGGGGAAGAACAAGGAAGAUAGAGCUCAGAGUAGAAAGCUGUGAAGUUCUGCACAACAGGUCCCCUUGGCCUGCUCUAACAGUUGGAAGGUGGGGGAAGCAUUCAUUUACUCAACAAAUAUAUACUGAGUGCCUUUUGCAUGCUAGGCACGCUUCUAGGGGUUGAGGACACAGCAGAGAGCACAAACAACAAUUCCAGCCCUCGUGGAGCUUACCUCUUCCACGUGGGAAAGACAGAUGGUAAAUGUAUAAGGACAAUAUAUGGACUGCUGUAUGAUUAGAAAUGCUAUGGAGAGGCUAGGAGUGCUGUCUCAUGCCUGUAAUCCCGCAGUUUGGGAGGCCAAAGGAGGAGGAUCACUUGAGGCCAGAAGUUGGAGACCCAACCUGGGCAACAUAACAGGCAUGGUAGCUCAUGUGGAAGCUUCCCGAGGCCCUCACCCAGAAGCAGAUGCUGGAGCCAUGCUUGUACAGCUUGCAGAACUAAAGCCCAGCUGGCUUGGUUCCAUGAAUCUUUGCCCUUCUUUCCAUCCACUUCUUCCUGCUUGGACAUUGGUUACCUGGAGAAGCAGAAGCCAUUUUAAGAUGAUGAAAGCAAAAGUUAAAUGUAUGAGAUGAUGGUGCAGAAAGCCAAAAGGGGCCUCCAGAACACUGAGCUUUGUGGAGUCGUGUACCAUAGCUGUAUUGCCGACCUCUGAACUUCCUGCUGAGAUAAAAAACAAUCCUUAUGUGUUUAUACUACUUUUAUUUCAGUUUCUUUUAAGUAUAGCAAACACAUUCCAAAUAAUAUGCAUCUGAAGUUUUUGGUUUUGUUUUUAAAUUUUUUUUUUAGGGAUGGGUUCUGGCUGCGUAGUGGCUAGAGUGUAGUGGCUA
rnacentral:lncRNA from 1 species